CUUGGUGGUGAUUCAUGUUGACACCCAAAUAAUGGGAGAGAGGAUGGACUGGGUCCAAAGCUCUGGGUCACUAGGGUGGCUGCUGGAGGGCCAUGGCUCAGUUACAUCACAUAUACGCUGUGUGAUCUGAGGCAAGAAACCUAACCUCCCUGUGCCUGGGAAUUAGAACAACACAGGACUUUUAGAAUUACUGUGAGGAUGGAAUGAUCAAUUAAAUGAACAGUGUCUGGCUUCUAGCAAGUAAAAGUAGCCCUGAUUAUUCUAGUCUUAAUGUGGUGAUAUCAAUGUUUUUGCUUAAUUUUGUUUCAGUUUUUUUUUUUUUUUUUCCCCCUUGGAAACACAGACUCACAGACUCAGCACUAAGGGGGUACCUGAGAGGCCAUCCAGUGCUACAUCUUUGCUGACAAGGAAAUGAGGCCCAGAAAGAGAAAGUCAUUUUCCCUGGGGUCACACAGCAAGUGAGAGAAUAUGAGCUCCGUGAGGACAAAGGCACUGCUUGUCUUGUUUGUGCUGGAUCUUCACUGCUUAUACCAGGACCAGACACAAGGUUUGGAUUCACUUCUUCAUUCAUCUGGAAGAACAGAAAGGAUUUCCAAAUGCUUAUCAAACGUAUCCUCUGGGCACUGAAGACGGGCCUUGUCCUCAGACCCUGACUAUCACUUUGUGGAACCACACGGCACAGGAUGGGAUGUCUCCACCUCCUCUUCUCUCCAUUGUCAACCCACCCACUCAGCAGUUUAUCAGCCCCCCUCUUUGUCCCCCUGUACAUUAUGAAGCAACAGGAUAAAAAUCUCCUUUAAUGUUUAGUGAGAAAUAGAAUGUAAACCAAUGGUACAACUGUAGUGGGCUUCAGAGCUGAACAGGCUCAGGAUGAUGCUGGAAGUUUCCUGGCUCCCUGCCCUUCUUAGGGGCCAAGAAAAUGGAAAUCACCACCCAUUACAGUGGACCACGGACAGGUCCCCCUCAGAUCCCUUACCCUGUGUGCCUCAGUCUUUUCAAUGACUGUGAGAUGUAAGUCCUGCUUCAUCUCCUAGCCUCACCUUCGUUUCCUUUCCUCAACUCCAGGCCAGGCAGCACCAGGUCCUGUCACACCCUGCACAGGCUGUGCUCUGCCAUCACCUACCUUUGCUCAUGCUCUUUCCUCUGCCUGGAAUGCCUUUCUCCCACCAGCUUUCUCUAGCAAGCUUUUACUUUUGCUGGAAGACUCAGCAUCAUUUCCUGAGCCCCAAGCUAAUCUGUGCCACCUCCCCCCCAACCCUGGGAACCCCAUGCUUCCCUCUGCCUCGACAUUCAGCACUUUGUGUUGGAAACAUCUGCUUUCUGGUCUACCUCCCACGUGGACGCUGAGUUCUGGGAAGACCUUCUCUGACUCCACCCUGAUUCCCAGAGGCCAGCACAGGACCUGACCUACAGUGGGUGCUCGGAGAAAUGCUUUCUGGAAUCUGGCUCAACACCCUUUGGUUGUCCUCCUCCUCUAAAUGGGCAUGUGAAUUAACUCAGCCUGUGCCCAGAGAAACAGGAACUUAAAGAUAAGUACAAAGUGGCCGAAUCUCCCGAGCCCCCAGGCUCUUCCACCAUUUGUGGUGAGUUGUGAAACAGAGAGUGAGCAGCCCAGAGUGGGGACCUGAGAAGCUGUUGGUGGUGGGAGUCCUUGGGUGUUCCCACGUGGUAUAGUUUUCAUGGGUCCAAAACCAUCCAUCUUACCAGAAAUUCCAGCACUAGAGCAACUUUCCUCUAGCUGAAAUCUCUCACCCUGGUUAAAAUGGAAAGCCUCAUGACAUGGACUUCUAAGGGGUCUUUAUUUCUACAGCUUUAUUUAUUUAUUUGUUGUGUUUUUAGGGCCAUACCCAAGGCAUAUGGAUAUUC